rnacentral:rRNA from 1 species
GAGACUAGGACGUUGAUAGGUUGGAUGUGGAAGCAUAGUGAUAUGUGAAGCUGACCAAUACUAAUUGCUCGUGAGGCUUGACUAU